rnacentral:rRNA from 1 species
CUACGGGUCGCAGCAGUGAGGAAUAUUGCACAAUGGGGGGAACCCUGAUGCAGCAACGCCGCGUGGAGGAUGACGCAUUUCGGUAUGUAAACUCCUUUUAUAUGUCAAGAAAAUGACGGUAGCAUAUGAAUAAGCACCGGCUAACUCCGUGCCAGCAGCCGCGGUAAUACGGAGGGUGCAAGGCGUUACUCGGAAUCACUGGGCGUAAAGGACGCGUAGGCGGGUUGGAAAGUCAGGUGUGAAAUCCUACAGCUUAACUGUAGAACUGCACUUGAAACUUCUAAUCUAGAGUAUGGGAGGGGGAGAUGGAAUUAGUGGUGUAGGGGUAAAAUCCGUAGAUAUCACUAGGAAUACCUAAAGCGAAGGCGAUCUCCUGGAACAUUACUGACGCUAAGGCGUGAAAGCGUGGGGAGCAAACAGGAUUAGAUACCCGGGUAGUC